UGGAAAGAGAGCCUGUGACACAACUUACGCUUUUGGAUGUUAACAACAAGGACAGUAACAACGCGAGACUACAGGAGACGGAGGAGGUGACCAAGUACGUCUGCAAAGGCUGACUGACCCAACAGCUACUGCUUCAGCACUGGAGAAAGGACUACGAUACUGAAGGAGGACAUUGAUGAUGGUGAAGGUUCAAGACGACCAGGCGAACCAAAGGGUGCUGAAUAAGGGAUAUGAGGAGAGAUAGGACAUCAAUCAAAUGGACUCCUCCGCCCAAUCCCACGACCAAUGUGAUGUAAUGUAUCUAACUGUUGGGUCCCUAAACACACAUACAGACACCCCCACACACACACAGACACACACACACCCAUGCUCCUGUGAUGGCUGACGUACUAAUAAAGCUAG